UACGGGGGGGGCAAGCGUUGUUCGGAAUUACUGGGCGUAAAGGGCUCGUAGGCGGCCAACUAAGUCGGACGUGAAAUCCCCAGGCUCAACCUGGGAACUGCAUCCGAUACUGGAUGGCUUGAAUUCGGGAGAGGGAUGCAGAAUUCCAGGUGUAGCGGUGAAAUGCGUAGAUAUCUGGAGGAAUACCGGUGGCGAAGGCGGCAUCCUGGACCGACAUUGACGCUGAGGAGCGAAAGCCAGGGGAGCGAACGGG
rnacentral:rRNA from 1 species